rnacentral:lncRNA from 1 species
UUUUGAACAGUGGGAGUGAACUGCUUCGAAAUUGGAAGACUGUUGUGGUGUUUCAUUAGUAUAUGAUGGCAUUGAGGCAGCAUGUCUUCACAAUUAUGUAGUUUUGUUAGUUUGAAAUUAGUAGUAUUUGUUUAGCUAGUUUUAUAGGUUAUUUGGGUUUUCAAUAAAUGUUCAAUUCUUCCAAUGUGAUCAAUUGUUCUAGAAAAAACAAGUUUUGUUCAAUGAAAGUAAGUUUGCUAGAAAAUCAAUUUGUGAUUUUGUCUGAUGCAUAAUUAUUAGAAUUAUUGAUAUGUCAAGUUGGUUAAUGAAUAUAGUCAUUAACUGAGAGUUUAAUUCUAUUAAGUUGAAAGCUGUUUCACUCAAAGUAGGAGUUAUACAUUUUUGUGCUCUGCGCUUUGGUUCAAAUAAGUAUUGGUUGCAGAUUGAAUAUGUAGUAGUUGUUGAAUUGUUUAUGUAAUGUACAUAGUAGAUUCUUCAUUUCCUUAUUUUGAAAUGCAUAACUAUAUAGUAUGUGAGUAUGAAUGUGGCUUGAAUAAGACUUAGUGAUCACUUCUAUAAAUUUUGAAGACUGGUUGUGUUCAUACUCAAGUGGGAGAAUGUAAGAUUAUGAGUAUGAAAUAUAUGAUAGAACCGGUUAUAGUGUUUGAGAUUGAUAUGGAAAAGUCUUGAUUAAAGCUAUUAGGUUGUCCUUAAUGUUUUAGGAUAAUAGAAUUGAGAGAAGUUCAAAUUGGUUUUGGAAAAGAACUUAGUGUUGGAACUUUAUAAGGUCUCAUAAUUCUUUAUGGUUUGCCUAGUUUGAAUCCUAGUCUAAUUCUGAUAGGGAAUGGACAGAGGAGUAC